UACAUUGCAAAAACUCCCAAAUGGGGAAGAUCUAAACAGAGUGCUUGAGGCUGGUCCAUACACUACAAAAAAAUGGGUCAAAAUUACAUUAAAUGCGCGAAUUAAAAAUAUCCCUAAAAAUUACAUAUCCAAAAAGAAAAAACAUAGCUCCAAAUGAAAAAUAUUCCCCCUCUUUUUUUCCCCAAAACAUAUAUUUCCCCUCUUUUUUUCCCAAAACAUCUUCCCCUCUCAUUUUCCCCGAAUUAGAGAGAAUGAGAGGUAUUCUCCGUCCAUUGAUUACAGGAGGUACGCCGGCCAUUGAUUACAGGAGGUACGCCGUCCAUUGAUAGAAACUCCGGCAACACAUUGAUAGGAGAUACGUCCGCUUCCAGCUCCCAGGAGCGUGUCUGUUUGACCCAGAAGUUGUGGGUUGCAUAUGUAGCUGCACUAGGUGUUGCAAAUGAGCACUCGGAAGUGGUGGCAGAUAACGAUGAUAUGUUUUCAGUCUUCAAGAUGUUCUGCAAGGUUCAUAUCAUGUGUUCUUCCAUCUUUAAACUUCAUAUACAUUACAUGUGUAGUUGAAUAUGUGUAUGCUUAAUAAAGCAUUUGUGCUUCAGGUUUAUGAAAUUACUGUGCUCCUCAAUAGCCUACAAGACUCUAUUUACUAAUAUUCGCACGAAGAUGCACAUGCUUUUGUAGUUAAUGCCUUCCAUCAUUGUUAGUUACAUCCUUUAAGUGGAACUGUUGAGUGGUUUUACACUGAUGCACUGUAUCCCGUAUGCUUCAUUUAUCUGAUAACUAAUAGAGUCAGGAUCUUAAUCUAGCAGAGAUGUCCACCGUUGGAACCGAGCAAGGGGAAAAAGAAUAUGGAUUUUCUGAUGACAUGGUCGAGUUACUUCUUUUUGCUCUGGAAGAUCUGAAACGUUCACUGAAGGAACGAGGAUUUAAUCUGAUGAUCAGGUUCGGGAUUGCAGAGAAUGUCAUAGAAGGGAUCGUCAAAGAGGUUUUUACAUAUUAUAUUUGCUUAUUCUGGUAUUUAUCUACCUCGGAUACUUCCCAUCUUUAUUCUUAUUGUGUGUUCUCAGGACUCCGAACUUACCAGGCUUAUUCUACCCGGGCUACUUCAUUAUACCAGUAUUUGUGUGUUCUCACGACUCUGUGAUACAUUUUUCUUUUGGAACUCAUUUUUAGAAAAGAAAGUUUUCAAAGAAAUUAAUAAGCGCUCAUCACAUUUCAAUGACUCCACAGCUGUAAUAGAACAUUGCGUAUGGCCUUACUGCGAAUGACUGCAUUUAUUCAGCUUGGCAUUAGUGAUAAAACAGAUAAAGAAUUAGACAAAAGUAACUCAUUCGUGUUUGUAACUUUGAUCAACUGCUAAAUGGAUGAACCAAGAAAGAAAAUACCUACGAUAACAUAUUGCGUGAAUCUUAACAGAAAAGGAAAAUUAUCAGGGUGUAGAUUGCCGGGUGACAUGAUUUAAAUUAUGUCAAGUCAUGCCGGCUUAUACUAUAAAGUGCACAUGAAAGCUACUUACCUUCGUCCCAAUUUAUGUGACCACUUUUGACUUCUCGAGAUCUAAACUAUGUGAACUUCAAUCAACAUUUUGAAAUGUAAUUUGUUUUUUAAUCAUAUGGACAUGAGAAGACCAACAACUUAUAGUACUUAUAUAGUUUUUUGAUAUCUAAAUUUUUAUUUCAAAAUAUUGAGUUGAUCUACUUCAAUUUAGCUAUAAUGAUUAGUCAAAUUGACUCCAUGGAAAUUGGGACUGAGAAAGUAUCUAUUUAAGGUUACUAAUAAAUACUCUUAUCUAUUUAAGCUUGUCUGCUAAAUCUCUUUUGUCUGAAUGGGAAUAAAAUGGCUUGAUAUGCCUGAAGACAAAUGAAAAAUAUGUAUAAAUUUGCAGUUGUUUUAAUAUUUGGCUUUGUGUUUAACAUGAAUAAAUCUCUUUUCAUAUGCUCAACUGCUCUACGUUCUAUCUGCGUGUGAUUAGUAUUUGGUCUGUUACCGACAGUAAGAAAACUAUAAUACUUAUCAUACUUUUCUACUUUCAUGUCUUGUUUCUUUACCUAUUUUUCUUUUGUUUUUAUGGGACUUCGUGUCUUCAGGGAUGUAUAAUUGUCUUAAUACUGGGUCUUGGAUGAGCUUUAGCUGCUUAUGUAAGAUCAUGUCUCUUUAUGGUGGUCCUUUGGAGUUCCCUUUGUGGUUGAAAGUACCCUUCAUCCUGCUUAUCAUGCUGUGAAGCGAUUAUUAGCAGAUUUUAAGCCAAGUGAUGCGGCUAGUGGACCCAUUUCCCAUGGAUGCAAGAAGAUCACGUGAUGAUAGUGAUCCCAAUGAUAUUUGUUGAUUUCGUUGUAAAUUGUCUUGGAUAUUCAAUUAUGAUGAUGUAAUUGUGUGGUUGGAGUAAAUCUUAGAAUAUUCAAUUAUUAUGAUGUAAUUGUGUGGUUGGAGUAAAUCUUAGAAUAUUGAAGGUUUUGUGUGUAAAUUUGAUUUUGGAGUUUGAAGAUACUGUUGAAAAUUUAAAGUUUGAAGAUGUUAAUAUUGAAAAUUUAAUUUUGAAGUUUAAUGUUCAAUGUAUUUUUGAUAUGCUUGUCAAUUGCAAUGUUUAAUUACUCUGUUGUAUUAAUGAUAUGUGAAUUGAACAAAUAUUGGA